UACGUAGGGGGCAAGCGUUGUCCGGAUUUAUUGGGCGUAAAGAGCGUGUAGGCGGCCUGGUAGGUCAGCUGUGAAAACUCGAGGCUCAACCUCGAGACGCCGGUUGAAACCAUCAGGCUAGAGUCCGGAAGAGGAGAGUGGAAUUCCCGGUGUAGCGGUGAAAUGCGCAGAUAUCGGGAAGAACACCCGUGGCUAAGGCGGCUCUCUAGUACGGUACUGACGCUGAGACGCGAAAGCGUGGGGAGCGAACAGGA
rnacentral:rRNA from 1 species